rnacentral:rRNA from 1 species
UGGCUCAUUAAAUCAGUUAUCGUUUAUUUGAUAGUACCUUACUACUUGGAUAACCGUGGUAAUUCUAGAGCUAAUACAUGCUAAAAACCCCGACUUCGGAAGGGGUGUAUUUAUUAGAUAAAAAACCAAUGCCCUUCGGGGCUCCUUGGUGAUUCAUAAUAACUUAACGAAUCGCAUGGCCUUGUGCCGGCGAUGGUUCAUUCAAAUUUCUGCCCUAUCAACUUUCGAUUGUAAGGUAUUGGCUUACAAUGGUUUCAACGGGUAACGGGGAAUUAGGGUUCUAUUCCGGAGAAGGAGCCUGAGAAACGGCUACUACAUCCAAGGAAGGCAGCAGGCGCGCAAAUUACCCAAUCCCGACACGGGGAGGUAGUGACAAUAAAUACUGAUACAGGGCUCUUUUGGGUCUUGUAAUUGGAAUGAGUACAAUUUAAAUCCCUUAACGAGGAACAAUUGGAGGGCAAGUCUGGUGCCAGCAGCCGCGGUAAUUCCAGCUCCAAUAGCGUAUAUUAAAGUUGUUGCAGUUAAAAAGCUCGUAGUUGAACCUUGGGCCUGGCUGGCCGGUCCGCCUCACCGCGUGCACUGGUCCGGCCGGGUCUUUCCUUCUGGGGAGCCGCAUGCCCUUCACUGGGUGUGUCGGGGAACCAGGACUUUUACUUUGAAAAAAUUAGAGUGUUCAAAGCAGGCCUAUGCUCGAAUACAUUAGCAUGGAAUAAUAGAAUAGGACGUGUGGUUCUAUUUUGUUGGUUUCUAGGACCGCCGUAAUGAUUAAUAGGGAUAGUCGGGGGCGUCAGUAUUCAAUUGUCAGAGGUGAAAUUCUUGGAUUUAUUGAAGACUAACUACUGCGAAAGCAUUCGCCAAGGAUGUUUUCAUUAAUCAGUGAACGAAAGUUAGGGGAUCGAAGACGAUUAAUCUGGUCGUCAAUAGCGUAUAACUAGUCUGCUCAGCAGGCAACACCGCAAAUUGCGGGGACCUCCUAAAGGCUGCACCACUCCCUACGUCCAGAAAUGGGCGCAGCUUGUUACAGCGUGUAGUAUGAUCAGGGCAGCCUGAGAAAUGGACAAUCCGCAGCCAAGCCCUACCGCUGCUCGCAGCCACGGGUGCAGUUCACAGACUAGACGUCGGUGGGUUCGCAGAACUUAAGAUAUAGUCGGUCAGCCCCUGAAAGGAGGCCUGAAGCAUGCAGAUACCGUCGUAGUCUUAACCAUAAACUAUGCCGACUAGGGAUCGGGCGAUGUUAUCUUUUUGACUCGCUCGGCACCUUACGAGAAAUC